rnacentral:rRNA from 1 species
AGAGUUUGAUCCUGGCUCAGGACGAACGCUGGCGGCGUGGAUUAGGCAUGCAAGUCGAACGGUAUGGUGCUUUCGGGCAUCAGAGAGUGGCGAACGGGUGAGUAACACGUAGGUGAUCUACCCUCAAGACGGGGACAACCCAGGGAAACUUGGGCUAAUACCGGAUGAUAGCAGCAGUGAUGUUGUUUAAAAGAUGGCUUUCGGGCUGUCGUUUGGGGAUGAGCCUGCGUCCUAUUAGCUAGUUGGUGUGGUAAAGGCACACCAAGGCGAUGAUAGGUAGGCGGCCUUAACGGGUGGUCGCCCACACUGGGAUUGAGAUACGGCCCAGACUCCUACGGGAGGCAGCAGUCGAGAAUAGUCUACAAUGGUCGGAAGACUGAUAGUGCGACGCCGCGUGAACGAGGAAUCCCUUCGGGGUGUAAAGUUCUUUUAUAUGUGAGCAGUGCUUCUUAUAUUAAGAGUAUGGGGAGAGAGAUAUUAGCAUAUGAAUAAGCAACGGCUAACUCCGUGCCAGCAGCCGCGGUAACACGGGGGUUGCGAGCGUUGUCCGGAAUUACUAGGCGUAAAGGGCAGGUAGGCGGAUCUAUAAGUUUUUUGUUAAAUUCAACGGCUCACCCGUUGCUCGGCAGGAGAUACUGUAGAUCUGGAAUGCGGUUGGGGAAGACAGAAUUCCUGGUGUAGCGGUGGAAUGCGCAGAGAUCAGGAGGAAUACCGAAGGCGAAGGCAGUCUUCUAAGCCGAUAUUGACGCUAAACUGCGAAGGUGUGGGGAUCAAACAGGAUUAGAUACCCUGGUAGUCCACACAGUAAACGAUAAUCACUAGGUGUUGGGUUCGUAUAGGACUCGGUGCCGGAGCUAACGCGAUAAGUGAUUCGCCUGGGGAGUACGAUCGCAAGGUUGAAACUCAAAGGAAUUGACGGGGGCCCGCACAAGCGGUGGAGCAUGUGGUUUAAUUCGA